GGACGGUCACUAGAUAUCCCAGCGGGGAAAGAAGACCCUGUAGAGCUUCACUUUGGUCUAGUCUUGUAUAGUUCCUGCGGGGGUGUAGACUAGGUGGGAGAGCAAUCGAUUCUGAAAAACCACUACCCUGUUUGGAAUUAUGCUUACCUAUCACAAGGAAUAGGACUAGAUAGAAAGUUUGGCUGGGGCGGCACACCUUCGAAAGAGCAGCGAAGGUGUCCUAAGUUGAGCUCAGUGAGGACAGAAAUCUCACGUUGAGGAUAAGGCCAAAAGCUCAAUUUACUGUGCCUUUUUGUACUAGGAUCAGUUACGAAAGUAAGGCCUAACGAUCCCUAAAUAGCCUCAGGUGCGUGAGGAUUGGGGUGACAGACAAGUUACCUCCGGGACAACUGGCUUGUGGCUGCUAAGAGAUCAAAUCAACGCAGCUUUUUGAUUCUUCGAUGUCGGCUCUUCCUAUCCUAGUGAUGUACAAGUUGCUAAGGGUCGGAUUGUUCACCCGUAUUAGGGAUCGUGAGCUGGGUUUAGACCGUCGUGAGCCAGGUUUGUUUUAUCCUACUGGAUAUAGCAUCAUGAUAGUAGAUUGAUUUAGUACGAGAGGAACUGUUGAUUAUGGCCUCUGGUUAGCGAUUAUCGGAAACGGUAUGUCGCGCAGCUACGCCGUCUGGGAUAAUGGCUGAAAGCCUCUUAAGCCAGAAGCCCAUCUAGAAAGUGAUGCACGUGAUGUUGGACCGAUACGAAUAAUCAUACUCAAAAGGUCCGCUUCAUAGGUAACCCAAUGUAGAAGACAUUGUGUGAACGAAGGUACUGUAAGCAGUGGAGUGGCAUUACGUCCACGACCUGUUGAGGUUCAGCUUCGCUUCUAGGUUUCC
rnacentral:ncRNA from 1 species